ACAUGAUGCUGUGGUUAUGAAGCUGACAUCUGAAGAAAUGGUGUGAAAUGGGAAACCUGACAGCCUCUGCCUGCUCCCCUGCCCUGUGAAUGAUAAUGAUUUCAUAGUGGAGACAGAUAUGGACAUCCUUUCCUUGUCAAAUGCAGGCAUAAAUAUGCCCACAGGGCACAUGCAUACUUCAUCUCAAGGAGAACCCAAGAUCAGAACAUCCUGCUAUAAAAGCCCCUGUUAUUGUACACCUCUUCUUUGGCAGACAGAAUUGAGCUCUUGGUAUACCUAGAUGUCUUGGGGGCUUUCAGAGACAUGCACAUGAAGGGGAGUUAGAGGAAAAAUGUCUACUCUACAAGAUAGUCACCAUUUAUAACUCUUCCUGUCUAAAGAGGAAUAUCUGGUCCAUUCUUCCUCUACUAGGUUUCCCGUCAAGAAGCCAUACAUGAUGGUCAGUGCUAAGAGUAAACUUCAAAGUCUCAAGAUUCACAAAGGAAAAAACCUGGGCACACUUGUGAGGGAGUUUUCAAAUGAUUUCUAUUUUGUUAGGAUGAUCCACCCUAAGUGUGACCAUCACCAUUCUGUGACCUGGGAUCCUGCACUAAAUAAAAGCAAAAUAUUGGAGAAAGUAGCAGCAUUGACUCGUGCUUUCUGUCAGUGAAUGUAAUUCAAUAGUAUUUCUUACAUGCCUGCCCCUGUACCCUCCCAAGCAUGAUAAACUAUACCCUUAAACUGUGAACCAAAAUAAACCAUCAUUCUUUCCGUUGCCUUUAAAGGUAUUUUGUCAAAGCAAUGAGAAAAAUAAAUAACAAGUCAUAUAAGGCCACCAUGCAUAUGAAUUCCCAGCAUUUCAGCCUUCCUGCUUUGUUACACAUAUGCAGAUACUUUGGAAUACCAGAUACAGAAGUGAGAAUCUGACUAGCCACCUAUCAAUGGCUUUGAUCGUCUCUUACAAUCUGGGAGACCAUUUAUCCUCACGUCCACCUUCUCCAUCCCUGUAUCUUAGACACCAUGGAAUUCUGAAAUUUCUUGUCUCUGAAAUAGUAAUGCUCAAUCCUAUAGAACUAUCAAAUCCUAUGUUUCUUAUAUACACUGAUUCAACUUCUAUUUUAAUUAAAGUAGUGUUAGACACAGCCAAAUGCUUAUGUAGAAAGUCUCUCUAGAUAAGUAUCAAUUCCCUGUCAAGAAGACAAUCAGUUGGAAAAUUAAGUAUUCAGAUAAAUGCUAAGUAAAGUGUUUGUCCCAUCAAAGAGUGUUGUAUGAACUAAAAUGACAGAAUGGCUAAUAGUUGUAAAUAUUACUGGUGAUGUCUACUGAGUCAUUUGUGUAACCAAGAGUUCAUACUGUGGUAAACACUGCACAUCAGUUGAGGACAAAGCACUGCUCAUUUAUGCUAUGACAUGAUGGAAAAGAGGUGACGAGUUUUGGAUUUCUUGUUAAUCUUUUCAAUUUAGUAUUUUAGAAAGGCAUCGUAAAGAUCUCCUGCAGAGCAAAUUUUAUGGCAGCGAAAAACUUUCCACUUCUGGUGUGUAUGAAUGUAGAUGUAUUUAUUUCCAAGGUAGAGUUUCUUUAGACAUUUGGAACAUUAAGUGGUUAAUUUUCUCCCAUAAUUCUACAUGGGGAUUUUGUUUGUUUGAUUGAUUGUUUCUAUUUUGCUUUGCUUUUGCCUUUGAGCUUGGUGUGAAGAUGUGUGUGGUCAGCAUGCAAAUAUGAAUGUUGAGGAGAACAUCAGUUCAAACAUCAGAACUGUUCCAGACUGGGUCUCUGGAAGUAGGAGUGAGCAGUCUGACUUCAGCAGAGGAUUAGUGACAUUCCUCUUAAAAGCAACACUCAUUCUUCAUUAUCCAUCAUAAAAGGAAGAUGAACUCUGACCCAGAGGGCUCAUCAAAAGUUCCUCUGCAUCCAGUUGGACUCUGGCAUGGUCAAAUGUCUGUCAAAGCAUUUAUUGUCUUCAAGGGUGUAAGAUAUCCUGACUGCAUAAGGUAUCAGUCUAACUCUGAGAAACGCAUGGUCAGUUCUACUUAAUAAUAAAUGAACUAACAUAGAAGAAAGUUGAUUUCCUGAAAUAAACUGGGAUUUUCGUGUUGGUUGGAAUGUACCAACAACAGAUAGUGAAAUCUGAGAUUCAGCCUUGUUAUCUCUGCUUGGUGCCUAAGUAAUGAAUACCUUCCCUCAUCUUAUACCAUACUGUUAAGACCAUUUGUCAAUAAACUGCCAUCUUUGCCUUAAGAUCUACUAUA